UUUUAAGGGCCGCAUUAUUUYGACUGUGCAAAGGUAGCAUAAUCAUUAGUCUUUUAAUUGAAGGCUGGUAUGAAUGGUUGGAUGAGGUGAAUUCUGUUUUAURUUAAUUUUUAUUGAGUUUAGAUUUUAAGUAAAAAGACUUAAAUGUUAUUAAGGGACGAGAAGACCCUAUAGAGUUUCAUGUCUGUAGUAAUUAAUUGAGUUAAAUCUUAAUUUUUGAUCAUUAUGAAAUUUAUUUAUUUGGGGUGAUUGGAAGAUAAAAUUAACUCUUCUUUGUAUUUAAUAUAGUAAUUAGUUAUAUAAACCAUGUUUAAUGAUUAAAAGAUUAAAUUACCUAAGGGAUAASAGCAUAAUUCUUUUUGAGAGUUCAUAUCGAAAAAAGARAUUGUGACCUCGAUGUUGGAUUAAGAUUAGUUUUGGGUGCAGAUGUUCAAGAGCU
rnacentral:rRNA from 1 species